rnacentral:rRNA from 1 species
GAUGCGCCCAGAUGGGAUUAGCUAGUAGGUGGGGUAAUGGCUCACCUAGGCGACGAUCCCUAGCUGGUCUGAGAGGAUGACCAGCCACACUGGAACUGAGACACGGUCCAGACUCCUACGGGAGGCAGCAGUGGGGAAUAUUGCACAAUGGGCGCAAGCCUGAUGCAGCCAUGCCGCGUGUAUGAAGAAGGCCUUCGGGUUGUAAAGUACUUUCAGCGGGGAGGAAGGUGUUGAGGUUAAUAACCUCAGCAAUUGACGUUACCCGCAGAAGAAGCACCGGCUAACUCCGUGCCAGCAGCCGCGGUAGUACGGAGGGUGCAAGCGUUAAUCGGAAUUACUGGGCGUAAAGCGCACGCAGGCGGUCUGUCAAGUCGGAUGUGAAAUCCCCGGGCUCAACCUGGGAACUGCAUUCGAAACUGGCAGGCUAGAGUCUUGUAGAGGGGGGUAGAAUUCCAGGUGUAGCGGUGAAAUGCGUAGAGAUCUGGAGGAAUACCGGUGGCGAAGGCGGCCCCCUGGACAAAGACUGACGCUCAGGUGCGAAAGCGUGGGGAGCAAACAGGAUUAGAUACCCUGGUAGUC